CGCCGCCCCCUCCCCGCCGUGAAAAACCAACGCCAGCCCUCUGGUGACCUCUGGGAGACUGCUGAGCCCGGGGAGACCUCUGAAAGAAACCCGAUUUGGGGCGCGGGGUGGGGGUGGGGGUGGUCACCACCCGGCGGGAAGGAAGAGGGCCUGCCCCUAGGAGGUGGAUGUUCGUUCAGGGACUGGAGAGGGGCCACGCCCCGCAACCCCUUCCCUGGAAUCCCCACCAUUUGUGUCUCUGACACCCUGUCGGUUGCCAUGGAGACCACUGAUUGUGAAACACACACUGGGUGUUCUUGGUCCCCCUUCUACCAAAUCAGAAGCCACAGUUCUUGCCAGGAGAAUGGGAUGACGAUCCGGAAGCUGAUUUUUUUCCCACCCAGACAUCUCAUGACUCUGACUUCUGCAGCAGCAGGCACUGGCGAUGCUGCCAAGUUGUGUGAGAAGGCACCUUCGCUGCCGAGUCACGAUUCUGAGCUUCCACACAGGCUGCCAUCAGCAAGGCAGAAGAUGUGUGCCAUAGCUUCUUGGGGGAGCAGAGGGAGAGUGGGGAGGCCCUGAAGGUGACUUGUUCUAGGCAGGCAUAGCCUACCCACUCACAUAUCCAAGGUCACAUGGCUGGCAUGGCUCAGAGCCACCAGUGUGUGGAUGGGGAAGAAAAGCCACUUCUGGGCUGUCUGAACCUCUGCUUCUGUGUGACUUUCUAUUCUAUUUGCUAGCUCGUGUGUGUGUGUGUGUGUGUGUGUGUGUGUGUGUGUGUGUGUGUGUGUGUGUAUGUGUGAGGAGGUCAUUGUUCAUGCUCAGGUACGAGUUCUCAGGUGUCCUUCUCUCUUGUAUCUUGAGACAAGGUCUCUCACUGGGUCCUGGAAUCCACUGAUUAGGGCUGGCUAGGGAGCACGAGGGAUCUUCCUGUGGCCACUCAUCUACACAGAGCUGGGAUUAGAAGCACACAUCCUGGGGAGAGGGUCUGAGGAUGGACCUCCAAUCCUCACAGAGCACUUUACUGACUGAACUAUUGGCCCAACAGAACCCAGGCACCUUGGAAGGCAAAGGAAGGCUUUAGGGCCAGCUGCCCUUAGGAGGGAAGGACCUAGGACAGAGUGACCAGAAAGCAAGGUGGCUUUCUCCUGGGGUCAACUGGGCAUGUGCUCAGCCUCAAAUGCCAGCAUAGUGUAGGAGGAUUGGGAAGAUUUCAAGCCACUCCUGUGCCGACUCUUUGCUGGAAGCCUAAUGAACACGGGGCAGGGAGAAACUUAGAGGCAUGCGUUGGUACUUGCUCUCAACAGCUGGGCUUUCGAACCUGUGGCCACCACCACAUGAGUGAGUCUUGCCUGACCUUCAAGAGCAUGGGAGAGCACACUGAGCUGCAACAAGCCCAGCCAUGGCCUCCCUAGACUUAGUUUCACAAUCUCACUCUUGAUUGAGGAUGACGUGUUUCUCUGCACUGGUGGAUGGUUCUGUGAGGUAUGGGGCAUUUGGCAGCCUCAGCCUCCACCCACUGUCUGAUUAGUGGCAUCGCCUGUGGUUAAGAACCGCUGCCCUAAUCCACUGAUCUGCCAGG
rnacentral:lncRNA from 1 species